rnacentral:rRNA from 1 species
UACAGAGGGUGCAAGCGUUAAUCGGAAUUACUGGGCGUAAAGCGUGCGUAGUCGGUUAUUUAAGUCGGGCGUGAAAGCCCCGGGCUCAACCUGGGAAUUGCGUUCGAUACUGGAUAGCUAGAGUUCGGCAGAGGGAAGCGGAAUUUCGGGUGUAGCGGUGAAAUGCGUAGAUAUCCGAAGGAACAUCAGUGGCGAAAGCGGCUGCCUGGACCAGAACUGACGAUCAGGCACGAAAGCGUGGGGAGCAAACAGG